GCCACCGAGGCUGUGAAUUGAUCUGGCCGUCUUUCGACCGCCUUAUGCCGGCUAGCGUGAGUGAUGCCCCGCCGCUAAGUCUGGAGAGUGUGGAUCUGUCAAUUAGGCCUUUUCUAUCCAACCUAAAACUGAUUUCACCUCGGUCAAAAACCGCCCCUGGGAGAGAAGCCUAGAGUCACCGAUGGGACUGUCUAUCCAUCUGUCUUCCUGUAGGGGGUCAUGCAGUGUUGGGAUGGCAUUGUCACAAAACACUAGACCAGCAACACCCAUAAACUCCUCAGAGGGCUUCAUCUGCUAUCUUUCAAUAUGAGUAUGUGUCUGAUGCUGGCCAAUGCCUUAUACUGCCUGUGGCAUUUGAAACCAUCUGUCAGUGUAGAAUACCCAUGUGCCUUUAGUGCGCAGACCAAAAACUAAUCUUCGGAUACCAACAAGAGGGAGAGCUUAUGAAUAAAAGGGAGAAAAACAUGGCAAUGCAGCAUGCUAUCAGUUUUCAUACUUACUAUAAUGCCUCAAUAUGCUUGAUCAUUUGUAUCAGCCUUGACAGAGUGAGGACAGAGAGAUUGAGUAAGAAUAAUAAUUAGUAAUUAAAAAAAUAUAACAAGAGUUUCUGAUGAAUGAUGAUUAGGGGUCAACACCAUGGCACAUUUUGAGAGACAUUGUGCUCAAAAUGCAAUUUUACCACAGGCAUGGUAUUUAAAAACAUAACCAACAUAGUUUUAGUUUUUUGCCACAGACGCAGAUGAGUCUUGCCACAGAUCUGUCUUUUGACAGACAGGUUGACAAUCACUGAUGAUGAUGCAUGCAUCCUUACAAAAUAUAUGUUCAAAUAUUCACCAAAAUGUUUUUCCUUUCUUUAUUUUUUAAGGAAUGUUCUCCUACUUUGCCAUCUUUUGGCAGCAUUUAAAUGCAUCAUAUUAAUAAUGAAUGGAAGUGUGUUGGCUUCAUACUGUUAUUCUUUGACAGGCCAGGGCUGCUGCUGCAACCUUGACCUGUGAACCGUAGACUAAACAUCCCCUCAACAAAUCAUGUCCAGCCUCAAUGCCAGUGAAUUAAGUUAACCAGUGGUUUGUGGUACCUAAAACACUCGCUAAAACUGCUCUGUCAACAUUGUAUUACUUAAGUGAAAUAUCUCAUCAUUUUUGUAUGAGAAUUCUCAUUGUUCUUCUUCAAAUGGACUAGUAGCCCAUCUAGGGUGUCCCCUGCCUCUUCGUAUUUCCUGGAAUAGGCUCCAGGAUCAGCACAACAAUAUGUUGAAUCAGUGGUUUUGAACAAUAGACGGGUAGGUAGAUCUUGAAAUGGUGUGUAAUGACUUCUCAUUGUUCUAAAAGACGCAAAGAAUAUUAAACUAUUUUACUGGGACAGGUGCACGUAUGGUGCAAACACUUUUCCCUCAUGUUCCCAUAUUUCAGGAUAAUACUGCCCCUAUACACACUGCAAGUUGUUUUAAGUCAAACACCUUUCAUGGCCUCCACAGUCACCAUGCCUCUGCCCUCCAGUUCUCAAAGCUUUCUACAGAGGAACCGAAAGCAUCCUAACCAGCUGCACCACCAUCUGUUACGGGAACUGCAGAGUCUCAAAGUGCAAUUCCCCCAGUGAAUUGUGAAGGACGCAGAGAAGAUCAUAGGGACCUCUCUACCCUCCCUCAUAGACAUGUACCACAAACAGUGCAGCAGCAGAGCCCACUCCAUCACACGUGACCCCUCACAUCCAUCCAACAGCCUGUUCACCCUGCUUCCAUCUGGAAAAAGGCUUAGGAGCCUUUGGUUUACCUCCACCAGGUUCUGCAACAGUUGUUUUCUCCCAAGCUAUCAGACAUCUCAGCUCCCACCUACCCCAUAAAUGUUGAUAAAUGCACAUUUGCCUAACACUGUUCCUAUUAUUUGGCCAGUCUGUCUACAAGCACUGUUUAGUGGUAUUAUAUGCACUGUGUCAUUGUUGGUGUCAUUGUUGAGUAUUGUUGUGUACGUAAAAACAUAAGAAAUUUACAAAUGAGAGGAGGCCAUUUGGCCCAUCAAACUCAUUUGGGGAGAACUUAACUAAUAACUCAGUUUUUUAAAUUUUAUUUUCAAUUUAAUUAUUUUAUUUCUGUUUAUUUAACUAUUCAUUAUUCUCCCACAGUAUUUACUGUUUGAUUUUUGUUUCUCAGCUUUUCCUAGUUCUGUAUAUCACUCUGUAGAUACGCAGUUUCAUUUCAUGUGUGUAAAAUGACAAUACAGUGACUUGGCCAGAUCGAAACAUCAUUGGACCCUUAUGGGAAGCCUUAAAGGAACAUCUUUUGAAUAAUGGUCCAGUAUAUUCAUUGUUCAGGACUUGUAUAACAGCAUUCCAGGAAAUAUUGAAGCUCUUUUGAAAGCAAAGUGCUUGCUCAUUGUCUGGUCCUUUAUUAAUAAAAUGUUCAGUGUUUUUUAUGAUUUUGUCACCCCCCCAUAUAUUUGUAUAUUUGCUUUGUUUGAUGUGGUUGGAAAUUUUGCUGGAAGGUGCUUCUGUUGCAUGGCUACUUGCAGACAGUCCCUUUGCUCAGGCCAUCGGGUUGCUUAACAACCAAUGACCUGCAUCCAUUCCCCCACUGCACUUUAUUGCAAACUGUGGUUAAUAUUCCAAUUUUGCACUUUAUCAAUAAUUUACUAUACUGUGGUCCAUCGCACAUCAUUAUCCCCAUUGCAUCACAUAUUUAUUACUUAUUUAUUGUUUAUUCAUUUAUUUUUGUACUGAACUUUCUUCCACUGCCUUAUCUUUAUUGCAGUACUGUCAUCCCCACAAUGCAUUGCUGUUUGUCCUAUAUGUCCCAUGCUCCUGUCCCCUACCCCGUAACUCUUAUAAAAAUUUCACUGUAUUCCUUUGAA